rnacentral:rRNA from 1 species
AGAGACCCCAAGCGUUAUCCGGAUUUAUUGGGCGUAAAGCGUGUGUAGGCGGCAAUGAUAGUCAGAUGUUAAAUUCCAGCGCUCAACGUUGGAGCUGCAUCUGAAACGUCAUAGCUAGAGACAAGUAGAGGUUCAUGGAACAUAUGGUGUAGCAGUGAAAUGCGUUGAUAUCAUAUGGAACGCCAAAGGCGAAGGCAGUGAACUGGGCUUUGUCUGACGCUGAGACACGAAAGCGUGGGUAGCGAACGGGAUUAGAUACCCCGGUAGUCCACGCCGUAAACGUUGCCUACUAGGUCUGGGGAGUAUCGACCCUCUCCGGACCGAAGCUAACGCGUUAAGUAGGCCGCCUGGGAAGUACGAGCGCAAGCUUA